rnacentral:rRNA from 1 species
GAUGAACGCUAGCGGCAGGCUUAACACAUGCAAGUCGAGGGGUAUUGGUUUUCGGACCAAGAGACCGGCGCACGGGUGCGCAACGCGUAUGCAAUCUACCUUUUGCAGAGGGAUAGCCCAGAGAAAUUUGGAUUAAUACCUCAUAGUAUAGUACUUUGGCAUCAAGGAACUAUUAAAGUCACAACGGCAAAGAUGAGCAUGCGUCCAUUAGCUAGUUGGUAAGGUAACGGCUUACCAAGGCUACGAUGGGUAGGGGUCCUGAGAGGGAGAUCCCCCACACUGGUACUGAGACACGGACCAGACUCCUACGGGAGGCAGCAGUGAGGAAUAUUGGACAAUGGGCGCAAGCCUGAUCCAGCCAUGCCGCGUGCAGGAUGACGGUCCUAUGGAUUGUAAACUGCUUUUANACAGGAAGAAACACUCCGACGUGUCGGAGCUUGACGGUACUGUAAGAAUAAGGAUCGGCUAACUCCGUGCCAGCAG